rnacentral:rRNA from 1 species
UACGUAGGGGGCAAGCGUUGUCCGGAAUCAUUGGGCGUAAAGCGCGUGUAGGCGGGUCGGUCAGUCCGCUCUGAAAGCCCGGGGCUCAACCCCGGGAGGCGGGUGGAUACUGUCGACCUCGAGUCCGGAAGAGGCGAGUGGAAUUCCUGGUGUAGCGGUGAAAUGCGCAGAUAUCAGGAGGAACACCAAUGGCGAAGGCAGCUCGCUGGGACGGUACUGACGCUGAGACGCGAAAGCGUGGGGAGCAAACAGG